ACUAUAUCAUAUUGAUCUUGUGGGCCUCACACUCAUACUCUGUCAACAAACUAAAAGAUUUUUCACAGAACCCAACGUCAAAUACACCAAAUCAUGUGCAAGGCUUACAAGAAGAGAACAAUUUUACCAAACCAAUUCCCAAAACUUGAUGUAUACAAAAUAUAACAAGAACGUAGACACACGUUACAAGCUACUAGAGUCUAGAGGUGUCAAACAGACUGGAUCAGCCCGCGCAUGGCACGAGCUUGGUCCGGCCCCUUAGACACCUCUACAAGCUACAAAUCAUCAAGAUAAUCUUCUCCACACUUAACGCUCUCGAUCUCACUCCUGUGUGUAUCUGUCUCUCACUCUCACUUUGCUUUGAAUGGAACGCUGGAGAUUCGAAUGAAAAUAAAACGCGGGACAAACUUGUGCGCCAUCGUCUAAAACCAAGUACCAACACAAACUCAACAAACUGCAAAAGCUGAUGGAGAAGUAUUCGAAGCAGAACCUUCAAAGCCACGACUUCUCAGUUACUGAUUCUUCAAUUUCCCAAGUCCGUGAAAGAUAUUAAUUUUUUUAUUUUAGUCAUGACAUGGCCUCCAGAUCUGAGAAACUGUUUCGAAAGGUACUGGCCUGUACUGAAUUCCAAAUCGUUGUUCGAUGAUUUGGGUAUCGAUGAAAUCGUAAGAGAAGAAAAAGAAGAAAACUCAGACUCAAGAUCCUUCGGAGUCACCUUCCCUCCUUUCAGAGCCUAUUGACAUCAGAAACUGGUUCUCAAGCUCUGUGUAUGAAUCUCCUGUGUUCGAUACAAAUGAUGGUUUUGGAGAUUUGUUUGCAAAGAAAAUAGAACUGGGAAGGAUCAGUUUCUAGUUGAAAACAGCAACAGAGGAAAAGAAGAGGAUUUGGAGGAUUUUAGUCAAAAAAGAACUGAUGGUGAAGAGAUUGUUGAUUUACAGUCUUGAAGGGCUUGCAAAAUGUGUCAGCUCUGGGAGAGAUAAUAAGCAGGAAAGGAAGCCUGUAAGUGAGGGUCACCGCGGUGGAGUAAAUGAAAACCUACCUAGUCAGAAUGAUUUGUAUAGCAAACAUAUGCCUAAACCAUUGCAAAACCAUGUUAUGGCUACAGCACAAGAUGUGUAACAUCGAAAGAAGUUCAUGUUUGAAUGAUGAGAAGUCUCCAAAAUACAUGACUCGUAGCAAGGAUUUCACUUUACAGGAGAAUUCAGAAGCAAAAUUCCAUGCAGAAGUUGAUUGUUUAUUAAUUCAAGGUGAUGCAGAGUUAAUUCCAGUUAAAGGAGCGUCAGAAAGAAAACCAACUCAUCGAAGCAAAGACAGAAAAGAUGACGGAAAAGAAAUAUCAGAAGAUGGUUUUAUUAGAACAAGGAAACACAAACUUCCAAGAAAAAGUCAUGAAAAUAUUGUGGAAGGACCGCAAGAGAUUAGUAAAGCAACAGCCACAUUAGCAGCUGGAAGGGAUGCAGUGGUGAAAAGAAAGCCCAGAUGCAACAAACUUCCAUCAUUCUCCUGUGAUGGAGAUCACUGGAAAAUGGAAGUGUCCUAAAAAAAAUAAGCCAAAUCUAGGACUGCUCUGCUUGCAACAGAGACAGACAUUUGCGAAAAGACUACUUCCAUAUAGCAAUCCAAGUCACUGUGGGCUAACCCCUCAAAGUGAUCAAUAUCGAUUCUACUCACCUGCAAUUUAGCUGAUCGGUUGAUUAGGCUAAUCGCUCGUAAUAACUAGGCUAUCAUUUGAGUUUACUUCCAAGUUUUACACAUUCAGUCUUGCUUAAAUUCCUCCAAGAAGGAGAAGAAUAACAUA